UACGAAGGGGGCUAGCGUUGCUCGGAAUUACUGGGCGUAAAGGGCGCGUAGGCGGGUCGUUAAGUCGGGGGUGAAAGCCCAGGGCUCAACCCUGGAAUUGCCUUCUAAACUGGCGGCCUUGAGUAUGGCAGAGGUGUGUGGAACUCCGAGUGUAGAGGUGAAAUUCGUAGAUAUUCGGAAGAACACCAGUGGCGAAGGCGACACACUGGGCCAUUACUGACGCUGAGGCGCGAAAGCGUGGGGAGCAAACAGG
rnacentral:rRNA from 1 species